rnacentral:rRNA from 1 species
UACGAAGGGGGCUAGCGUUGCUCGGAAUCACUGGGCGUAAAGGGUGCGUAGGCGGGUCUUUAAGUCAGGGGUGAAAUCCUGGAGCUCAACUCCAGAACUGCCUUUGAUACUGAAAGUCUUGAGUUGAUGGGAGAGGUGAGUGGAACUGCGAGUGUAGAAGGUGAAUUCGUAGAUAUUCGCAAGAACACCAGUGGCGAAGGCGGCUCACUGGCCCAUAACUGACGCUGAGGCACGAAAGCGUGGGGAGCAAACAGG